rnacentral:rRNA from 1 species
CACCGCGGCCAUACGAUUAACCCAGACUAAUAGACACACGGCGUAAAGCGUGUUCCAGAAACAACCUAACACUAAAGUUAAACCUUAACUAAGCUGUAAAAAGCCACAGUUAACAUGAAAAUACAACACGAAAGUAACUUUAAUACCCCCACCACACGACAGCUAAGACC